UGGGGAAUUUUGGACAAUGGGGGCAACCCUGAUCCAGCCAUGCCGCGUGAGUGAAGAAGGCCUUCGGGUUGUAAAGCUCUUUCGCAAGGGAAGAAACGAUGCAGGUAAAUAAUCUGCGUUAAUGACGGUACCUUGAUAAGAAGCACCGGCUAACUACGUGCCAGCAGCCGCGGUAAUACGUAGGGUGCGAGCGUUAAUCGGAAUUACUGGGCGUAAAGCGAGCGCAGGCGGUUCUGCAAGUCAGAUGUGAAAUCCCCGGGCUCAACCUGGGAACUGCGUUUGAAACUACAGAGCUAGAGUAUGGGAGAGGGAGGUAGAAUUCCACGUGUAGCAGUGAAAUGCGUAGAGAUGUGGAGGAAUACCAAUGGCGAAGGCAGCCUCCUGGCCUAAUACUGACGCU
rnacentral:rRNA from 1 species